rnacentral:rRNA from 1 species
GACGAACGCUGGCGGCGUGCUUAACACAUGCAAGUCGAACGGAAAGGCCCUGCUUUUGUGGGGUGCUCGAGUGGCGAACGGGUGAGUAACACGUGAGUAACCUGCCCUUGACUUUGGGAUAACUUCAGGAAACUGGGGCUAAUACCGGAUAGGAUCUCCUGCUGCAUGUUGGGGGUUGGAAAGUUUCGGCGGUUGGGUAUGGACUCGCGGCUUAUCAGCUUGUUGGUGGGGUAGUGGCUUACCAAGGCUUUGACGGGUAGCCGGCCUGAGAGGGUGACCAGCCACAUGGGGACUGAGAUACGGCCCAGACUCCUACGGGAGGCAGCAGUGGGGAAUAUUGCACAAUGGGCGGAAGCCUGAUGCAGCAACGCCGCGUGCGGGAUGACGGCCUUCGGGUUGUAAACCGCUUUCGCCUGUGACGAAGCGUGAGUGACGGUAAUGGGUAAAGAAGCACCGGCUAACUACGUG